rnacentral:rRNA from 1 species
UACGUAGGGUGCAAGCGUUAAUCGGAAUUACUGGGCGUAAAGCGUGCGCAGGCGGUGAUGUAAGACAGGUGUGAAAUCCCCGGGCUUAACCUGGGAACUGCAUUUGUGACUGCAUAGCUAGAGUACGGUAGAGGGGGAUGGAAUUCCGCGUGUAGCAGUGAAAUGCGUAGAUAUCAGGAGGAACACCUGCGGUGUAGACGGCUUACUGGACGGUAACUGACGCUGAGGCACGAAAGCGUGGGUAGCAAACAGG